rnacentral:rRNA from 1 species
GACAGAGGGUGCAAACGUUGUUCGGAAUUACUGGGCGUAAAGCGCGUGUAGGCGGCCCUGCAAGUCGGGUGUGAAAUCCCACGGCUCAACCGUGGAAGUGCACUCGAAACUGCAGGGCUAGAGUCCUGGAGAGGAAGGUGGAAUGCUUGGUGUAGAGGUGAAAUUCGUAGAUAUCAAGCGGAACACCGGUGGCGAAGGCGGCCUUACUGGACAGUGACUGACG